UACGGAGGGAGCUAGCGUUGUUCGGAAUUACUGGGCGUAAAGCGCGCGUAGGCGGCUUUGUAAGUUAGAGGUGAAAGCCUGGAGCUCAACUCCAGAAUUGCCUUUAAGACUGCAUCGCUAGAAUCCAGGAGAGGUGAGUGGAAUUCCGAGUGUAGAGGUGAAAUUCGUAGAUAUUCGGAAGAACACCAGUGGCGAAGGCGGCUCACUGGACUGGUAUUGACGCUGAGGUGCGAAAGCGUGGGGAGCAAACGGG
rnacentral:rRNA from 1 species